UACGGAGGGGGCUAGCGUUGUUCGGAAUUACUGGGCGUAAAGCGCACGUAGGCGGCUUUGUAAGUUAGAGGUGAAAGCCCGGAGCUUAACUCCGGAACUGCCUUUAAGACUGCAUCGCUCGAAUCAUGGAGAGGUUAGUGGAAUUCCGAGUGUAGAGGUGAAAUUCGUAGAUAUUCGGAAGAACACCAGUGGCGAAGGCGACUAACUGGACAUGUAUUGACGCUGAGGUGCGAAAGCGUGGGGAGCAAACAGG
rnacentral:rRNA from 1 species